rnacentral:tRNA from 1 species
UGGCGGUUAGCUCAGUUGGUUGGCGUGGUGCUAAUAGCGCCAAGGUGGCGGGUUCGAUCCCGUCUGGGCCAA